AUGCACGAAAGCGUGGGGAGCAAACAGGAUAAGAUACCCUGGUAGUCCACGCCCUAAACGAUGUCAACUAGCUGUUGGGGCCUUCGGGCCUUGGUAGCGCAGCUAACGCGUGAAGUUGACCGGCUGGGGAGUACGGUCGCAAGAUUAAAACUCAAAGGAAUUGACGGGACCCGCACAAGCGGUGGAUGAUGUGGAUUAAUUCGAUGCAACGCGAAAAACCUUACCUACCCUUGAGAUGUCUGGAAUCCUGAAGAGAUUUAGGAGUGCUCGCAAGAGAACCGGAACACAGGUGCUGCAUGGCUGUCGUCUGCUCGUGUCGUGAGAUGUUGGGUUAAGUCCCGCAACGAGCGCAACCCUUGUCAUUAGUUGCUACGAAAGGGCACUCUAAUGAGACUGCCGGUGACAAACCGGAGGAAGGUGGGGAUGACGUCAAGUCCUCAUGGCCCUGAUGGGUAGGGCUUCACACGUCAUACAAUGGUCGGGACAGAGGGUCGCCAACCCGCGAGGGGGAGCCAAUCCCAGAAACCCGAUCGUAGUCCGGAUCGCAGUCUGCAACUCGACUGCGUGAAGUCGGAAUCGCUAGUGAUCGCGGAUCAGCAUGUCGCGGUGAAUACGUUCCCGGGUCUUGUACACACCGCCCGUCUCACCAUGGGAGUGGGUUUACCAGAAGUAGUUAGCCUAACCGUAAGGGGGGCGAUUACCACGGUAGGAUUCAUGACU
rnacentral:rRNA from 1 species